UCAGGACGAACGCUGGCGGCGUGCCUAACACAUGCAAGUCGAGCGGGGACAUGCGACGGAUAGGAAGAUUCGGUUGGACUUGAAGAUGCAUGUCUAGCGGCGGACGGGUGAGUAACGCGUGAGCAACCUGUCCCUUACAGGGGGAUAACACAGCGAAAGUUGUACUAAUACCGCAUGAGACCACGGGAGGACAUCCUCCAGGGGUCAAAGGAGCAAUCCGGUAAGGGGUGGGCUCGCGUCCGAUUAGAUAGUUGGUGAGGUAACGGCCCACCAAGUCGACGAUCGGUAGCCGACCUGAGAGGGUGAUCGGCCACAUUGGGACUGAGACACGGCCCAAACUCCUACGGGAGGCAGCAGUGGGGAAUAUUGGGCAAUGGGGGGAAACCCUGACCCAGCAACGCCGCGUGAGGGAAGAAGGUUUUCGGAUCGUAAACCUCUGUCCUUGGUGAAGAGGAAGAGACGGUAGCCAAGGAGGAAGCCCCGGCUAACUACGUGCCAGCCGCCGC
rnacentral:rRNA from 1 species